rnacentral:lncRNA from 1 species
UUGACUUUAAACCUAAGGUUUACGUGCUGGAACCUAUAAAUAAUAUCUUGUUCACUUUAAGGUAACAGAGAGUAAGGUCCGUCAAGAUAUCACAAACAGAUCACCGACUAACUAUGAACUAUAAACUAAUACCAUUAAAGACUAUAGCUCAAGUGUGUGAACCUUCAUAGCUAGAAGUCUCUUAUGAUACAGAAAUAGUACAC